GUUCCUGCUUGUUAACAAUAGUGUUAAGCAUUGUUAAGGCUCAACAAUGCUGAACAACAUUGUUAACAAGCAGGAACAA